CAGAGAUUUCCGAAUGGGGAAACCCAGCAUGAGUUAUGUCAUGUUAUCGAUAUGUGAAUACAUAGCAUAUCAGAAGGCACACCCGGAGAACUGAAACAUCUUAGUACCCGGAGGAAGAGAAAGAAAAUUCGAUUCCCUUAGUAGCGGCGAGCGAAACGGGAAGAGCCCAAACCAACAAGCUUGCUUGUUGGGGUUGUAGGACACUCUAUACGGAGUUACAAAGGACGACAUUAGACGAAUCAUCUGGAAAGAUGAAUCAAAGAAGGUAAUAAUCCUGUAGUCGAAAAUGUUGUCUCUCUUGAGUGGAUCCUGAGUACGACGGAGCACGUGAAAUUCCGUCGGAAUCUGGGAGGACCAUCUCCUAAGGCUAAAUACUCUCUAGUGACCGAUAGUGAACCAGUACCGUGAGGGAAAGGUGAAAAGCACCCCGGAAGGGGAGUGAAAUAGAACCUGAAACCGUGUGCUUACAAGUAGUCAGAGCCCGUUAAUGGGUGAUGGCGUGCCUUUUGUAGAAUGAACCGGCGAGUUACGAUUUGAUGCAAGGUUAAGCAGUAAAUGUGGAGCCGUAGCGAAAGCGAGUCUGAAUAGGGCGUUUAGUAUUUGGUCGUAGACCCGAAACCAGGUGAUCUACCCUUGGUCAGGUUGAAGUUCAGGUAACACUGAAUGGAGGACCGAACCGACUUACGUUGAAAAGUGAGCGGAUGAACUGAGGGUAGCGGAGAAAUUCCAAUCGAACCUGGAGAUAGCUGGUUCUCUCCGAAAUAGCUUUAGGGCUAGCCUCAAGUGAUGAUUAUUGGAGGUAGAGCACUGUUUGGACGAGGGGCCCCUCUCGGGUUACCGAAUUCAGACAAACUCCGAAUGCCAAUUAAUUUAACUUGGGAGUCAGAACAUGGGUGAUAAGGUCCGUGUUCGAAAGGGAAACAGCCCAGACCACCAGCUAAGGUCCCAAAAUAUAUGUUAAGUGGAAAAGGAUGUGGCGUUGCCCAGACAACUAGGAUGUUGGCUUAGAAGCAGCCAUCAUUUAAAGAGUGCGUAAUAGCUCACUAGUCGAGUGACACUGCGCCGAAAAUGUACCGGGGCUAAACAUAUUACCGAAGCUGUGGAUUGUCCUUUGGACAAUGGUAGGAGAGCGUUCUAAGGGCGUUGAAGCAUGAUCGUAAGGACAUGUGGAGCGCUUAGAAGUGAGAAUGCCGGUGUGAGUAGCGAAAGACGGGUGAGAAUCCCGUCCACCGAUUGACUAAGGUUUCCAGAGGAAGGCUCGUCCGCUCUGGGUUAGUCGGGUCCUAAGCUGAGGCCGACAGGCGUAGGCGAUGGAUAACAGGUUGAUAUUCCUGUACCACCUAUAAUCGUUUUAAUCGAUGGGGGGACGCAGUAGGAUAGGCGAAGCGUGCGAUUGGAUUGCACGUCUAAGCAGUAAGGCUGAGUAUUAGGCAAAUCCGGUACUCGUUAAGGCUGAGCUGUGAUGGGGAGAAGACAUUGUGUCUUCGAGUCGUUGAUUUCACACUGCCGAGAAAAGCCUCUAGAUAGAAAAUAGGUGCCCGUACCGCAAACCGACACAGGUAGUCAAGAUGAGAAUUCUAAGGUGAGCGAGCGAACUCUCGUUAAGGAACUCGGCAAAAUGACCCCGUAACUUCGGGAGAAGGGGUGCUCUUUAGGGUUAACGCCCAGAAGAGCCGCAGUGAAUAGGCCCAAGCGACUGUUUAUCAAAAACACAGGUCUCUGCUAAACCGUAAGGUGAUGUAUAGGGGCUGACGCCUGCCCGGUGCUGGAAGGUUAAGAGGAGUGGUUAGCUUCUGCGAAGCUACGAAUCGAAGCCCCAGUAAACGGCGGCCGUAACUAUAACGGUCCUAAGGUAGCGAAAUUCCUUGUCGGGUAAGUUCCGACCCGCACGAAAGGCGUAACGAUUUGGGCACUGUCUCAACGAGAGACUCGGUGAAAUCAUAGUACCUGUGAAGAUGCAGGUUACCCGCGACAGGACGGAAAGACCCCGUGGAGCUUUACUGUAGCCUGAUAUUGAAAUUCGGCACAGCUUGUACAGGAUAGGUAGGAGCCUUUGAAACGUGAGCGCUAGCUUACGUGGAGGCGCUGGUGGGAUACUACCCUAGCUGUGUUGGCUUUCUAACCCGCACCACUUAUCGUGGUGGGAGACAGUGUCAGGCGGGCAGUUUGACUGGGGCGGUCGCCUCCUAAAAGGUAACGGAGGCGCUCAAAGGUUCCCUCAGAAUGGUUGGAAAUCAUUCAUAGAGUGUAAAGGCAUAAGGGAGCUUGACUGCGAGACCUACAAGUCGAG
rnacentral:rRNA from 1 species